rnacentral:lncRNA from 1 species
AAGGCACAAGCGCACACAUUAGCCCACAGCUUACACAGGUCAGGGUGGUCAGUAUCUUCACCUCCACUUACUGUUCCGCUGGUAGGUCUUCGGGGCGGUGACACGCGUGGAGAUGUCAUCUCUGAGGAUAAGAAGGUCUUCUUCUGGAACACCUCCUGGAGGACCUGCCUGAGGCUGCUUCAUAGUUUCUGGAGUAUCAGCUAGCUGCUAAGGAAGAAUCAAACUCCUUUCCUGUGAAAGAGCGGAAUGUUCAUGGAAAGAAAAACGUCAAGGGCUCCAGAGUCAAGGGUGGCAUUUGGCAAAUACCAAGGGAAGAAGGCAGCCUGAGAAAGUGGAAAUGGAGCAGGGCUGGGUGGCAGCCACCAAUGCUGACUGGUCCCUCACUGACAGCCCGUUCCCACCCUAGAUGAGGUAAGCCAGGUGGCUUCCGUUGUCAUGCAAAUGACAAGAUGCACACCAUGCAUAUGUCCUCUUAAUGUGGGUCCCCCAGAGGCAGCUCCUGAAGCCAGAAUUUCAGUGGGGGUGUAAUCUGAGGAGCUCCUAGGACACCUGUAGAAGAGUCAGAAGCGAGACGGGGUGAAGGAGCCAAGCACGCUGUGUUGUCAGGAAUGCUGUGGGCAACUGUGGGAGUCAGUGCAGAACAGCUCAGAGUUACGACACAGGAAGGGCGAAGGAGCUGGAGGAA